rnacentral:rRNA from 1 species
UUUAAAAAAUUAUUGUUUAUUUGAAAUAAUUAAUAUAUUUAAAAUAAGAAAAUUUAAUUUUAUUAUAAGAUUAGAAAAAAUUUAUAUAAUCAUAGUUAAUUAGUAUUGUGAAAGAAUUAAGUUUAAUUUUUUAAAAGAAUAAUUUUUUUUUUGUACCUUGUGUAUCAGGUUUUAUUAAAUAUUUUUAAUAAAUUUUAAUUUCUCGAAUUUGAAAGAGCUAAUAAAAUAUUUUUUUAAUGUGAAAUAAUUAUUAUUAAUAUUUUAUUAGAAAUGAAACGUUAAACGUUUUCAAAUAUAUCUAGUUUUAAAAGAAAAAAAUUUAAUUAAUUUAUUAAUAAUAUGUAAUUAAUUAAUUAAUUAUAUGUUAGUAAUAAUUUAUGUUUUUAGGGAUGAGCUUAAAAAUAAAUUUUUAAAAAUAAAAGUUUAAAUUUAAAAGUUAUAGGAUUAGAAGUUUUCAUUUUUAAAAGAAUGUUAUAAUUAAUUUUAUUAAAAAGAUAAUUUAUAUUUAAUUUUAAAUAUAGUAUUUUAAUAUAUUUUUUAAUUAAUUAGAAUUAGAAAUUAUGAUAAAAUUAGUAUUUUAUAAUAUUUAUAAUUAAUUUUAAAUUUGAGAUUAAUUAAAGGAAUUAGGCAAAUAUUUUUUUCACCUGUUUAUUAAAAACAUGGCCUUACGUUGAUAAUUUAAGGUCUAGCCUGCCCACUGAAAAUUUAAAUGGCCGCAGUAUUUUGACUGUGCAAAGGUAGCAUAAUCAUUAGUUUUUUAAUUGAAAGCUGGAAUGAAAGGUUGAAUGAGAAAAAAACUGUCUCUAUUUAAAUUAUUAAAGAAUUUUAUUUUUAAGUUAAAAAGCUUAAAUUUUUUUAAAAGACGAGAAGACCCUAUAGAGUUUUAUAAAAUUUAAAUAAUGAAGUUUUUAGAAUUUUAAUUUUUAUUAGUUAAUUUUUAUUUGAUUGGGGUGAUUGAAAAAUUUAAUAAACUUUUUUUUUAGAAAAACAUUAAUUUAUGAAUAUUUGAUCCAUUAAUUAUGAUUAAAAGAUAAAAUUACCUUAGGGAUAACAGCGUAAUUUUUUUUUAGAGUCCAAAUUAAAAAAAAAGAUUGCGACCUCGAUGUUGGAUUAAAAUUAAUUUUUGGUGCAGAAGCUAAAAAUGUUUGGUCUGUUCGACCAUUAAAAUUUUACAUGAUCUGAGUUUAAACCGGUGUAAGCCAGGUUGGUUUCUAUCUUUAGGAAAAUUUAAUAUUUUAGUACGAAAGGACCAAAUAUUAAAAAUAAUUAUUUAGUUAUUUGAUUAUUAUUA